rnacentral:rRNA from 1 species
UAUUGCUCAAUGGAGGGAACUCUGACGCAGCUACGCCGCGUGAGCGAUGAAGGUCUUCGGAUCGUACUGCUCUGUCCUCAGGGAAGAAGGUCUUUUGACUUGACGGUACCUGUGGAGGAAGCCCCGGCUAACUACGUGCCAGCAGCCGCGGUAAUACGUAGGGGGCAAGCGUUGUCCGGAAUUAUUGGGCGUAAAGGGUGCGUAGGCAGCCUUUUAAGUCAGAUGUGAAAGCCCACGGCUUAACCGUGGGAUAGCAUUUGAAACUGGAGGGCUUGAGUAUCGGAGAGGGUAGUGGAAUUCCCAGUGUAGCGGUGAAAUGCGUAGAUAUUGGGAGGAACACCAGUGGCGAAGGCGACUACCUGGACGAAAACUGACGCUGAUGCACGAAAGCUAGGGGAGCAAACA